rnacentral:lncRNA from 1 species
GAGAAAAGGACUACUUGAUCUUAAAGCAAGAACUAUGAAGAAAAGGGUGAGUACCAAUUAGGUGCUGCUAUGAUCAACUUUUUAAACAGCUUAUUAACUCACUGUGCUGAUAAGUGAAGAAAGGAAGGAAAAUCCAUGAUAAUUCAUCAUAUAUCAUAAGACAUCAGAAUCUGGACAUAAGAACCAUGCCAGUCACUGUGAAGCUAAACAGAGAGUGAAGAAGUUCUCUAUGAGGCCCAUGGGUUUACAGAAGUCUGUCAAUCUCUCUGUCCAUCUUCUGGAUCAUUAUUCAAGUUACUAUCCCCAAUUUUGCUGGGUACAUAAUAUCUAUCCCAGCUGUGUAGAUCAUUUUUCUUCCUUGUGGAUUAGGAAUUUGUUCCCCUUAAAUUAUCUCUGAGUGAAUAUGCUGCUCAAAAAAAGUAGUAGGAAUGUCAACCUCACCUGUGUUUGUUUUGUGUAUGUGUUUAUAUACCUACCUCUUCACCCUUUUACUGUGAUUGCCAUACAAAAAGUUAAAGCUAUGCCUGGAACCAGUAGCAAACA